AACUACGCCUGCACGAAGUUGGAAUUGCUAGUAAUCGCGGAUCAGCAUGCCGCGGUGAAUACGUUCCCGGGUCUUGUACACACCGCCCGUCACACCAUGGGAGCUGGUAACACCCGAAGUCAGUAGUCUAACCGCAAGGAGGACGCUGCCGAAGGUGGGAUUAGCGACUGGGGUGAAGUCGUAACAAGGUAAC
rnacentral:rRNA from 1 species